UGUGCGGUUGCGGUGGUGCUGGUGGGGCGGCGGGCGAUGCGGAGCUUCCGCAGCUCCUCGAGCCAGCGGAUUUCCCACCCCGGCCCACCACCCCCGCCGCCGAUCUUUCCGUCGGAGGUGGAGAAGCGGCGCUCGAGAUCGCGGUACCGUUCCUUACAACCCUCCGGCAUGUGGAGGUGGUGGUGAGCGGAGAGGCUUCGGCUCCGGACCUCCAUGGCCCCCGAAUCCCAGCUCCGUGUCCUGUGCCGGCUCAUGGCGCACGCGAGGAGGAGCUCCUCUAGCAUCCCCCAGAUCUCCGACGUCGCCUCCGGAUCGUCGGAUCUUACCAUGGUUCAUCUCAUCCCACACCCCAAACCUCCGUGUCCCAUGCCGGCUCACGGCGCAUGCGAGGAGGAGCUCCUCUAGCGUCCCCCAGAUCUCCGACGUUGCCUCCAGAUUGCCCGAUCCAUGGCCACCAAAUCCCAGCUCUGUGUCCCGUGUCGGCUCACGGCGCACGCGAGGAGGAGCUCCUCCAGCGUCCCCCAGAUCUCCGACAUCGCCUCGGUGCCGUAGAUCCUACCGGCACCCUUUUCCAUCAUCUUCUACCGCUGGCAUUGGCCGCCGCUCAUGGACGCGACCCAUGACAGCAGCCCAUCAUCGCCACAGAAACCCCAGCCCGAGCC
rnacentral:lncRNA from 1 species